AAUACCGCAUAACCAUAGUUACCACAUGGUAACUAUGUAAAAGGUGGCUAUACUACCGCUUUUGGAUGGGCCCGCGGCGCAUUAGCUAGUUGGUAGGGUAAAGGCUUACCAAGGCAAUGAUGCGUAGCCGAAUUGAGAGGUUGAUCGGCCACAUUGGGACUGAGACACGGCCCAAACUCCUACGGGAGGCAGCAGUAGGGAAUCUUCCACAAUGGGCGAAAGCCUGAUGGAGCAACGCCGCGUGGGUGAAGAAGGUCUUCGGAUCGUAAAACCCUGUUGUUAGAGAAGAAAGUGCGUGAGAGUAACUGUUCACGUUUCGACGGUAUCUAACCAGAAAGCCACGGCUAACUACGUGCCAGCAGCCGCGGUAAUACGUAGGUGGCAAGCGUUAUCCGGAUUUAUUGGGCGUAAAGGGAACGCAGGCGGUCUUUUAAGUCUGAUGUGAAAGCCUUCGGCUUAACCGGAGUAGUGCAUUGGAAACUGGGAGACUUGAGUGCAGAAGAGGAGAGUGGAACUCCAUGUGUAGCGGUGAAAUGCGUAGAUAUAUGGAAGAACACCAGUGGCGAAAGCGGCUCUCUGGUCUGUAACUGACGCUGAGGUUCGAAAGCGUGGGUAGCAAAC
rnacentral:rRNA from 1 species